UCUGUUUGAUAUACGUUGUAUAUGAGCGUAUAUUCUCCCUUCACAGGUGGUUCAGGGUCAGGAACCAAAUAACUCCAUCUGAUUAUUAAUGUGCGGGGUAUAUUUUCAUUAACACCAUAAUGCACAAAGAUGGACUCUCAAAGUUGAGGAAACAAGUUAGCUUUUCUAACAUGAGGGGGAGACAUGAUAAACACUUGNN
rnacentral:lncRNA from 1 species